rnacentral:rRNA from 2 species
GAAAUCCACACCCCAGAAGGAUUCACAAAUCUGAUGUGAAAACCAUCGCCAAACACGAGGAAGUGAAUCGGAAAAUCGAAAACUUGAGUGCAGACGAGGACAGGGGAACUACCUGUGUAGCGGGGAAAUGCGUCGCUACACGGAUGAACAUCAGUGGUGAACGCUGGCUGUCAGGUCAGCAACGGAAGCUGAGUCUCGAAAGCAUGGGUAGCGAACAGGAUUAGAUACCAUGGUAGUCCAUGCCGUAAACGAUGACUGAUAGGUGUUGGAGGGUUUCCGCCAUUCAGUGCCGCAGAUAACGCAUUAAGCAUUCCGCCUGGGGAGUACGACCGCAAGGUUGAAACUCAAAGGAAUUGACGGGGGCCCGCACAAGCGGUGGAGCAUGUGGUUUAAUUUGAAGCAACGCGAAGAACCUUACCAGGUCUUGACAUCUUUUGAUCACCUGAGAGAUCAGGUUUCCCCUUCGGGGGCAAAAUGACAGGUGGUGCAUGGUUGUCGUCAGCUCGUGUCGUGAGAUGUUGGGUUAAGUCCCGCAACGAGCGCAACCCUUAUGACUAGUUGCCAGCAUUUAGUUGGGCACUCUAGUAAGACUGCCGGUGACAAACCGGAGGAAGGUGGGGAUGACGUCAAAUCAUCAUGCCCCUUAUGACCUGGGCUACACACGUGCUACAAUGGAUGGUACAACGAGAUGCGAGACCGCGAGGUCAAGCUAAUCUUUUAAAGCCAUUCUCAGUUCGGACUGUAGGCUGCAACUCGCCUACACGAAGUCGGAAUCGCUAGUAAUCGCGGAUCAGCACGCCGCGGUGAAUACGUUCCCGGGCCUUGUACACACCGCCCGUCACACCAUGAGAGUUUGUAACACCCGAAGCCGGUGGCGUAACCCUUUUAGGGAGCGAGCCGUCUAAUGGUGGACAAAAGAUCGCCCGG